CUGCUUGUAGAUCUACGGCGCCUCUAUGUGUCGACACGUUGCUCUUGCUUUAUUUCCUGUGACUUACCAGGAGACGACAUCAGGACCCACGUUUUAGAAUCCAAUUCACGUUUCAUUUUAAAUCAUACAAAAUACAAAAUUUAAAAAUAAGAACUUGUGGGCUUCAGAAUUCAUUAUGGGUCAGGUUUCACCGUGGUUUGGGUUUCAAAAUUGUGAGCUUUGGGCUUCAAAGUUUUUUGGGUUUCAGUUUGCGGAAGCCUGUGUGAUUAGGGGUUACUAAUUCAUUUUUUUUUGUUUUUUUUUUUGUUUUGAGUCACUUUUCGAACACAUAUGAUGAGAUUGUGACAAAUGUUUGCAUGACUUAAAUGAAAAUUGGAUUUCAUUUUAUUUUAUUCUUAAAAAAAUAUUUUAAUUAAAAUUGUUUUUGGCAUCGUUCUAGCAUGAUAUGUUUGAAACCUUCUUUACACUUGCUAUUUGUUUCAUAAUUUUCCAGUUCAAGAAUUUGCAUUGUUUACACCAUAAUCAACCAAGCGUGUUUACACCAUAAUCAACCAAGCGUAUUCGACAUUAGACGAGUGACACCUUGGUAGACAUGUCGGCUGCCGAAGGAAAGGAAACAUGCUAAACAGGCACACAAACAAGCCCUUAGAAAGACGAAUGACAUCAUCUCCUUCUUAGCCUACCAAAGGAGGAACCCCUUCUGAAGCGGUAACUACAUGCCGAAGCUCCCAACUACAGAACCUAGAGCCAUGGACAUGUGUCAUCUCCACAAUAGUUUGCACAAAGUCCCACAUUGAAACUUGUGCAAGACUUCCAUUUUCACUUCCCUAUAAAUAGGAAACAGUACCCGAGCAAAAAGGGUAACUAUUUUCUAACAUUUAC
rnacentral:lncRNA from 1 species